CGGCCGCCGGGGCCCCAGUAACCGCCGCACCGGCCCGGGCGCAGGGGGCGCCUGUCAAGUGCCUGCACUAGGCUCGUCGGCCUGCGGCGGUCCCGCGGAUCCCACCUCCGGUUGCCCCCCGUCAGGGAAAGCCGGGGUGACAGGAUAAAGGCCAGAGGCUCCUGGACGAUGCUGACGUUCACAUGCCCCAGGUUUCCGUACUUGGAGAGCUGAGUGGGUGGAAUGCCUGGCCCAGAUGGUAAAGAAUAGAAGUGGAAAAAGCGUUUAAUAAAUUUAAUUAUUGAUGUGUCACAGGUCUGUGCCAUCUGAGCUGGAGGAAAAAGGACUUGGAGACAGCGAUUUAAAUAAGGAACGAGGUCUUCCAGGAAGACAGUGCAGAACUGGACGAAGAGCUCUUGCUCCGCACUGCUGAAGGCAGCCUCUUCGGCACGAUGGAAGGCCAAGAUUACUUUUGUUACCUAAGAGACAAGGGCACCAUCAAUCACUGGGAGGACAUCAACAGAAAGAUUUUAUACAACCACGUCACAACUGCCACCUGGUUGACAGCGACUGUAAGAUGUCGUCAAUUAUAAGCAGCACCCAAUAUCUAAAGAUUUAAUGUGUAAAAAUGUGCACCAUACUCAGAUAUUAGCAAUAUUGGUAGUAGUACUUGUAUCAGGCAGAAUUCUAAUAUGGCUCUUGUAAUCCCCGCCCCCUGGUAUCCACUCCUUUGUGUAAUCUCCUCCCCUUGAGUGCAGGCAGAAUCUCUGACUUGUUUCUAACCACAGAAUAUGGCAAAGGUGAAGGAUUUGGCAGUUUUAAUUAACAUCCCUAACCGGCUGAUUGAAUUAAUGAAAAGGGAGGUUAUCCUGGGUGGGCCUACCCUAAUUAGAUGAGCCUCUUAAAAGAGGGUUGAGGACUCCCCUAAAGGAGACUUAGCAAGCAGAGAUGCUCUCCCAUUGGCCCUGAAGAAUCAAAAAGCUACACUGAACUGCCUAUGGAGUGGGCUGGUCUCUAGGAGUUGAGGGCCUCAGUCCUACAACUGUAAGGAACAGAAAUCUGCCACUGUGAGUGAGCUUGAAAGGAGGGGACCCUGAGCUCCAGAUGAGUCCACAGCCUGGCCAAUAACUUGAUUGCAACCUUGUGAGCAGAGGACCAACCCAUUUAGGCUGUGCCUGGACUCCUGACCGAAAGAAACUGAGACAUGAUAAAUGUGUGUUGUUUUAAGCUGCUAUGUUUGUGUGAGUUUGUUAUACAGCAAUAGAAAAUCAGUAUAUUACUGAACCAUUACUACAGGUGAGACACUUCAUGAAAGGGGACUAACCAGAGCUUUUCAACCAGAAAAACCUCUAAAACCACACUAAACCUAAGUCAGCAGGCACCACCGUCACACAGACUGGUUUAUUACAGAAGUCUGGCCAC